rnacentral:lncRNA from 1 species
AUGGCCAUGCUAGAGCUUGUUCAAAUCUUGCGUGCUCAACCAGGUCCAUUUCCUCCGCGGCCGUGCCGCUUCCGACUCGUCGCCGGCAUUGUCGGCUCAUCCAUCGGCCCUCAAAUUCGCCCCGAAGCACCACCCUCGCGCUCGUUGCGGGCUCGCCUGAGUGCCGACCCGCUCCUCCUUGCCCUGGAUCCGUUGUCUACCGACCCAAGAGCCGCCGCCUCUAGCAUGCCAGAACCAGCUGCCACCAUCCAAGGCUCCAACUCACUCAGCGCUAUACUGUCAUUGUCGAGAACGCCUGAUGCCUUGAAGAGUGGUCAACCAUAGGAGGGAGAGC